rnacentral:tRNA from 1 species
GCGAGUGUAGUUCAAUGUCAGAAUGUCACCCUUCCCGGGUGAAGAUGCAGUGUUCAACUCCUGCCACUCGCUCCA